UUCCUUCCUACCAUCCUCCCUGAAGAGCAACCUCAAGUUAGUGAGCACACAUCAGGCUUCUUUUUUGGUCUUGGAACUCUGUGGCCUGGUAGAGGUGAUAUCCCUGUCACAUUAAGAAAGAUGCUCCUUUCUCUGAAGACUAUUGACAGGCAAGCAGCAUUGCCUCCAAAUUAUAACUCAAAAACAUCUCUGCAUAAAAGAUUCAAGAGGACAGGGUUUGGAGAGCUUCUGGAUAGCUGAACAUGUGAAGGCUGACAGAAAGGUGAACAAGAACUCAUCCAUAUAUUAGGAGGGUGCUGUAUCCCAAAUCCAUAGGACAGAACCUCCUGUGCUCAGGACCCUUCCAAACCUGCUCCUGUGUAUCUCUUCUUCUGCCUGUUUAUUUGUAAACUUUAAAAUACCCUUCAUAAUAAACUAAUAAAUGUGUUUCCCUGGUUUCUGUAAGCUACACUUGUCCCAGCCCCGGAUUUGGGACAGGUGUCUGAAGGAAGGGGGCAGUUUUGGGGACUGAUCCCUCAACCUGUAGGAUCUGACACUAUCUCCAGGUAGAUAAUGUUGGAAUUGAAUUGGAGGACACCCAGCUGGUGUCUGCUGCAGAACUGACUGCUGUAGAACUGAUUGGGUUUCCCCACACACACUUGGUCACAAAAGUCUUCUGUGAUAAUUGUGUUGUGAGAACAGAGGAAAAACACAGUGUGAGUUCGUUUUUGCAGACAGUAUCCAAGUCAGACUGCCAGUUAAUUGUUUUAGGUGCUAUGAUAUAUGUAUGGUACACUGGAAUGCAAGGAAAGGGUACUUAUUACAAACUUAAAACAUAGAUUCAUAAAGCUUUUAUAGAGUUAGUGCUGCAAGAGCUGCCAUAUCAGCUACUUAUUCAUUUUUAAUUGCGGAAAAAUACACAUAACAUAAAAUGUAUCAUCUUAACCUUUUUAAAUGUACAUACACUUUGGUAGUAGUCAGUAGUGUUAAGUACAUUCACACUGUUGUGCAAUCCAUUUCCAGAACUCUUCAUCUUGCAAAACUGAAACUGUAUCCAUUAAACAAUUCCCCAUUCCCUCCUCCUCCUAGUCUGGUAGCCACCCUUCUACUUUCUGUCUCACUAUACAUUUAACUACUCUAAUUACCUCUUAUAAGUAGAACCAUAUAGUACUUGUCUUUUUGCCAGUAUUUUAUUUCACUUAGCAUAAUGUCCUUAAGGUUCAUCCAGUCGUAGCAUGUAUCAGAAUUUCCUUUCUUUUUAAGGCUGUAUAAUAUUUUAUUGUAUGUGUUUGCCACAUUUUCUGUUUUUUGAGAUAGGGUCUCAUUGUCACUUAGUCUGGAGUGCAGUGGCACGAUCAUGGCUGAUGGUAGCCUCAACCUCCUGGGCUCAAGUGGGCCUCCCACAUCAGCCUUUCAAGGUGCUGGAUUACAGGUGUGAGCCACCAUACCCCUGCCUCAUUUUUUUAUUCAUUUUUCUGUCAGUGUACACUUGGGUUGCUUAUACCUCUUGGCUGUUGUGAAUAAUGCUGCUGUGAACAUGGGUGUACAAAUAUCUCUUCAAGCCCCCAAAGGUGGGACUGCUGGACCAUGUGGUAACAGAGUAGCUGUUUUAACCUUUUCAUUAUAAAGAAGGCUUUUAAAUAUUUUCUUUCAUGAGUGCCAUGAAUUUGUUAUCAUUCUUACAUAAAUUACAAUUUAUUAUUACUCCUACAUAAAUUAUAAUUGUUAAUGUACUUUAUCCCUGUUUUAAUGAAUCAAAGGCACAUGUAACUCACCAAGACAAUUUUAGAUACAGUUACCAUGCUGUAAUUAUUCAUAUGAGAUACAGCCACUAAUUACUUUAAUGCAAUGAUAUAUAACAAAACAGUAUAAUAUUUUCAUUACAAUCUUCUUUUGGAGAAAUGUGAUUUUUGAAACAUUAAAAAUAGCCAACAGAAAUAAUGAUAGUUAACAUUUAUGGGGUUUAAUGUACAAAGUUCUAUGAGUGUAUUAUCUGAUAAGAACUCUUGUUACAAUCCUUACAACAACUCUUAAAUUAGGUCCUGUAGUCCUAUUUUAAAGACCUGGAAAUUUAGGGCAGAGAGUCAUCCCAGCUACUUGAAAGGCUGAGGCAGGAGUAUCACUGGAACUUGGAAGGCAGAGGUUGCAGUGAGCCAAGAUUGCGCCACUGUACUCCAGCCUGGGAAACAGAGCAAGACUCAGUCUAAAGUUUUCCACUUUGCAAGUGGCAAAGCGAAGAUUUAAACUCAUUCAAUCUGACUUCCAGAGUGCAUUCUCAUUCUCUCUCUUCUUGUUUUACUUUUGCAGUUAGCUUUUUGAGGUAUAAUUUACUUAAAAUAAAAUGCAUCUGCUUUAAGUAUAUAGUGUAAAGCAAAAAGUAUCUGAGACAGGUUUUAGUCAACUUACAAGUUUAUUUUCCAAGGUUAAGGAUCAUGACCUGUGACACAGCCUCAGGAAGUCUUUAGAACAUGUGCCUAAGGUGGUUGGGUUACAACUUGGUUUUAUGUUUUAGGGAAUCAUAAGAUGUCAAUCAGUACAUGUAAGGUAAACAUUGGUUCAGUUUAGAAAGGUGGGACAACUUGAAGUGGUGAGUAGGGGGCACAGCUUACAACAGGUCAUUAGUGGAUUUAAAGAUUUUCUGAUUGGCAGUUGGUUGAAAGAGUUAAGUUAUUAUUUAAAGCCCUGGAAUCAAUAGAAAUCAGUAUCUGGGUUAAGAGGGUUAAGAGAAGGGGUUGUAGAGACUAAUGUUCUUAUUAUGUAGAUGAAGUCUCAUUGGAGGCUGCCCUUAGAGGCAAUAGAUGGCAAAUGUUUUCCUUUUAAAAGAUGCUAGACUGUCAGCUAAUCUCUUCAGGAUCAGAAAAAGACCUGGAAAGGGAUGAGAAUUCUCUGCAGAAUGUAAAUUUCCUCUACAAGAGUCAGCUUUGCAGGGCCAUUUCAAAUUAUGUCAAAGAAAUAUAUUUUGGGUAAUGUACUUUGAUUUCUUUCAGAGCCUCGCUGUUUAUCAUGUGAUAGUAUACUAGAGUCAGGUUGAAAUUUGGUAUGUUGUUGCUACAAAAAGUCUGUUCUGUCAGUCUUAGGAUCUCUAUUUUUUUAAUGUUAAUGCUGGCCAAUUGUAUGCCUGAAUUCCAAACAGUAUAAUGAGGCAUAUCUGACCCCUCUCUUUACCACCCCACCCUAUCCCCCUUCAUUCCUCAACUUUACCCCCGAAACCCUGGUAUGGGGUGAAAGUUUUUCUUUUUUCUUUUUCUUUUUGAGACUGAGUCUUGCUCUGUUGCCCAGGCUGGAAUGCAGUGGCACAAUCUCAGCUCACUGCAACCUCUGCCCCUGGGUUUAAGUGAUUCUUCUGCCUAGGUAGGAUUACAGGCACCUUUUGCCUAGCUCAUUUUUGUAUAUUUAGUAGAGACAGUGUUUCGCCAUGUUGGCCAGGCUGGUCUCCAACUCCUGACCUUAGCUGAUCUGCCUGCCUUGGCCUCCCAAAGUGCUGGAAUUACAGGUGUAAGCCACCACACCCAGCCUUGAAGUAGCCAUUUAAUUCCAAAACGAUGUACUUAACUACCAUACUACCUUGCCUUCCUCCCUUACCACUUUUUUAGAUGCCAGUGAGUCCACGGACCUUAUGGUGGGAACUAGUGAUCUAAUGUUCUCAUUUUACAAAUAAGGAAAAAGACCUUAAGAAGUGAUCUGCCUAAAAUUACAUUGAAAAUUAGCAGUGAAGACUAGAUCAGAAUCCACAUAUAGUAGUUUCUCAGUCUGGGAACUGAUGGAGCAGAGGAGGAUGAUGUCAUUAUUGUUGAUGUCAUAUUGAUAAUGGGUUACCAGAUCAAAGGACUUCCACCAAACAAAAAGUUUCUAAUGAACUGUUUUAUUAUGGUGAAAAUACCUAACAUCUAUGAAGUGUUUUAUAACAAUAGGCCUCAGACUUUAAUAUGUAUGUGAAUUACCUGGGAAUCUUAUAAAAAACAUUCUGGUUUAAUAGAUCUGGAAUGUGCCCUUAGAGCUUUCUCUCCCUCCCUCCCUCCCUCCCUCCCUCCCUUCCUUCCUUCUUGAGACAGGGUCUAACUCUGUUGCUCAGGCUGAAGUUCAGUGGCAUGGGUAUAGCUUACUGUAACCUCAAACUCCUGGGUUCAAGGGACCUCCUGCUCCUGCUUCAACCUCCCAAAUAGCUAAGCACUACAGAUGUAUGCCACCAUGCCUGGUGAAUUUUUUAUUUUAUUUUUUGUAGAGAUGCUGGGAAUAUCACUAUGUUGUCCAGGCUGGUCUCGAAUUCCUGGCCUCAAGCAAACCUCCCAAAGUGUUGGGAUUAUAGGCAUAAGCCACCAUGGCUGGCUGAGUUUGCAUUUCUCAAAAGCUAUCAGGUGAUUCCAGUGCUGCUGGUCUAGAGACUAUACUAGAAGCAAGGCUUUAACAUACUCAAAGCACUUUUAUAUCUUUUAUGAGAUGUAGGUGUUAUCCCUGUUUUUAUGUAAGGAAAGUAAGUUCAAAAGGAUAAGCAGUUUGUUAAAGAUCACAGAGCUGGGCCAGGCGCGGUGGCUCAAGCCUGUAAUCCCAGCACUUUGGGAGGCCGAGGCGGGUGGAUCACGAGGUCAAGAGAUCGAGACCAUCCUGGUCCACAUGGUGAAACCCCGUCGCUACUAAAAAUACAAAAAUUAGCUGGGCAUGGUGGCGCGUGCCUGUAAUCCCAGCUACUCGGGAGGCUGAGGCAGGAGAAUUGCCUGAACCCAGGAGGCGGAGGUUGCGGUGAGCGAGAUCGCGCCAUUGUGCUCCAGCCUUGGUAACGAGAGAAACGGCAUCUCAAAAAAUAAAAUAAAAUAAAAUAAAAAUCACAGGGCUGGUACUGGAACCCGGGUUUCUAACUUUGCAAACCAAGUUAGGUGUUGGUUACCCUGCAUGAUAACAGUAGGCUGAAAACCUGUAUGUGAAGGAAAGCUUGAAAAGGAUCAUUCUGGGUAAUAAGCUAAAUUGAACUUUUUUAUUUCAGAAACAGUUUUCAUCCCUAUUUUUUCUUAGUGCCUUUCCCAAGCUUAAAUGAAAUCACCUUUAGACUGAAGUCUAUAGUUAGCAGUUAGAACUUAGUACGUACUUGAAGGCUGAGUGCAUUUGCAAGUCUAAUCUUAGUAUUUGCCUAGGUUUUCAAAGGUAUUAACCAGGAAGAAUUGUCAUUUGGUGUCACAUUUUGGAAGAAAUGAUUGAUUUUUUUUUUUUAAGUGAAACAGUAAUUGGGGUGUGUGUGUGUGUGUGUGUGUGUGUGUGUGUGUCAAUAAGAAUGGUAUGAUUCCUCAAAUAGUAAUUUGGGAAACUUCACUGAGAUAGAAUACAUAGUAUAGUAAACAUUUAAAUGAAAGUCUUGUCUAGUGCAUUCUUAUUUCAGGUCAAAAUCUUAAGUUGUUUUUUUCAGGUUUCAGAAUCUUACCUUUGUUCCUUUGCCAGCCAUUUCCAACAGUGGAAAAAAAAAACUCACCUGGAGAGUUUUAGGUAGUGCAGAACAUUCGAAAGAAAUAAAAGCAUGAGGAAACAUUUUAGGACCCAGCAAAUGAUAGAUCCCAAAAUGGACAGUAAAAGCAUUUUAUGGUAGCAGGAAAGUCCUAGAUUAUUUUACUUUGAGGAAAGUACAUGUUAUAAUGGAAUAGCUGCCCGUUGGACUUGGAGUCAGAAUCAAGAUUCCUAUCUGGACUUCACUCCAUUGAGCCUAUGACUUAACCUUAUCAAAUGUCAUUUUUCUCAUUUUAUAAAAACUAAUAAAAAGAAAAUUUAUGAGAUUUAAAUGGUAUAAUCCAUGUAAAAACACACCAUGAAGUACCUGGCAGAUAUUAGGUGCUCAAUAAAGAUUAGUUGAAUAGGAAUCUAAUCAAAAUAAGUU